UACGUAGGGGGCAAGCGUUGUCCGGAAUCAUUGGGCGUAAAGCGCACGUAGGCGGUUCGUUAAGUCGGAUGUGAAAGCCCUCGGCUCAACUGAGGAAGUGCACCCGAAACUGGCGAGCUUGAGUACGAAAGAGGAUCGCGGAAUUCCCGGUGUAGAGGUGAAAUUCGUAGAUAUCGGGAGGAACGCCGGUGGCGAAGGCGGCGAUCUGGGUCGAUACUGACGCUGAGGUGCGAAAGCGUGGGGAGCAAACAGG
rnacentral:rRNA from 1 species